rnacentral:rRNA from 1 species
GAUGAACGCUCGCGAUAGGCUUAACACAUGCAAGUCGAGGGGCAGCAUGGUCUUAGCUUGCUAAGACUGAUGGCGACCGGCGCACGGGUGCGUAACGCGUAUGCAACUUGCCUCACAGAGGGGGAUAACCCGUCGAAAGACGGACUAAUACCGCGUACACUUGGGAUAGGGCAUCCUGACCCAAGGAAAUGAAAUUCGCUGUGAGAUAGGCAUGCGUCCCAUUAGCUAGUUGGUGAGGUAACGGCUCACCAAGGCGACGAUGGGUAGGGGAACUGAGAGGUUGAACCCCCACACUGGUACUGAGACACGGACCAGACUUCUACGGGAGGCAGCAGUGAGGAAUAUUGGUCAAUGGGCGAGAGCCUGAACCAGCCAAGUCGCGUGAAGGAUGACUGUCUUAUGGAUUGUAAACUUCUUUUAUACGGGAAUAACAAGAGCCACGUGUGGCUCCCUGCAUGUACCGUAUGAAUAAGCAUCGGCUAACUCCGUG